rnacentral:pre_miRNA from 14 species
UCCUUGUGGUGGUUUUGAAAGACCCCCAGAGCAGGGAGACCCUCACUCAAGUCUCGGGAUGACGCGACCACCGAAGAACUCACACAAGACC